rnacentral:rRNA from 1 species
GGAUAUUUGCUAAAGAUUCAUCGCUGAUAGAUAGGCAUGCGUUCCAUUAGGCAGUUGGCGGGGUAACGGCCCACCAAACCGACGAUGGAUAGGGGUUCUGAGAGGAAGGUCCCCCACAUUGGUACUGAGACACGGACCAAACUCCUACGGGAGGCAGCAGUGAGGAAUAUUGGUCAAUGGCCGAGAGGCUGAACCAGCCAAGUCGCGUGAGGGAUGAAGGUUCUAUGGAUCGUAAACCUCUUUUAUAAGGGAAUAAAGUGCGGGACGUGUCCCGUUUUGUAUGUACCUUAUGAAUAAGGAUCGGCUAACUCCGUGCCAGCAGCCGCGGUAAUACGGAGGAUCCGAGCGUUAUCCGGAUUUAUUGGGUUUAAAGGGUGCGUAGGCGGCCUUUUAAGUCAGCGGUGAAAGUCUGUGGCUCAACCAUAGAAUUGCCGUUGAAACUGGGGGGCUUGAGUAUGUUUGAGGCAGGCGGAAUGCGUGGUGUAGCGGUGAAAUGCAUAGAUAUCACGCAGAACCCCGAUUGCGAAGGCAGCCUGCCAAGCCAUGACUGACGCUGAUGCACGAAAGCGUGGGGAUCAAACAGGAUUAGAUACCCUGGUAGUCCACGCAGUAAACGAUGAUCACUAGCUGUUUGCGAUACACUGUAAGCGGCACAGCGAAAGCGUUAAGUGAUCCACCUGGGGAGUACGCCGGCAACGGUGAAACUCAAAGGAAUUGACGGGGGCCCGCACAAGCGGAGGAACAUGUGGUUUAAUUCGAUGAUACGCGAGGAACCUUACCCGGGUUUGAACGCAUUCGGACCGAGGUGGAAACACCUUUUCUAGCAAUAGCCGUUUGCGAGGUGCUGCAUGGUUGUCGUCAGCUCGUGCCGUGAGGUGUCGGCUUAAGUGCCAUAACGAGCGCAACCCUUGCCACUAGUUACUAACAGGUGAUGCUGAGGACUCUGGUGGGACUGCCAGCGUAAGCUGCGAGGAAGGCGGGGAUGACGUCAAAUCAGCACGGCCCUUACAUCCGGGGCGACACACGUGUUACAAUGGCGUGGACAAAGGGAGGCCACCUGGCGACAGGGAGCGAAUCCCCAAACCACGUCUCAGUUCGGAUCGGAGUCUGCAACCCGACUCCGUGAAGCUGGAUUCGCUAGUAAUCGCGCAUCAGCCAUGGCGCGGUGAAUACGUUCCCGGGCCUUGUACACACCGCCCGUCAAGCCAUGGGAGCCGGGGGUACCUGAAGUCCGUAACCGCGAGGAUCGGCCUAGGGUAAAACUGGUGACUGGGGCUAAGUCGUAACAAGGUAGCCGUACCGGAAGGUGCGGCUGGAACACCUCCUUUCU